UGCUAGGGGAGCGUAUGCUGAGAUUGUAAGAAAUUACAGACCCUCAAUACCUGAUCCGGUUAAUGCCGGCGUAGGGAAGCGAGUUUAUU
rnacentral:ncRNA from 1 species